UUCUUAUAUACAGAAAAACAAAGGAAGCCUCAUAAAUGCAAGGUCUGCAAAAGUCAUCGCUGAGAUAGAAAUGAUCCUCAAGGUGCCCCGGGAAGCCAUCAACAAUUUUCCUGUGUCAUGUUCAGUUCAGCAUGAAGCCCUUGGAGUUGGUGUAGAGGCAACCUAAUUUCAAGACCAUUAGUGGCACUUUCAUUCUGAUCUGGAAGCCAGACGAGUGCUCAAAAAA